rnacentral:rRNA from 1 species
UACAGAGGGGGCAAGCGUUGUUCGGAAUUACUGGGCGUAAAGGGCGCGUAGGCGGCCUGUUAAGUCGAACGUGAAAUCCCCGGGCUCAACCCGGGAACUGCGUCCGAUACUGGCAGGCUUGAAUCCGGGAGAGGGAUGUGGAAUUCCAGGUGUAGCAGUGAAAUGCGUAGAGAUGUGGAGGAACACCGAUGGCGAAGGCAGCCUCCUGGGCCGACACUGACGCUGAGGGCACGAAAGCGUGGGGAGCAAACAGG